ACGGAGGAUCCAAGCGUUAUCCGGAUUUAUUGGGUUUAAAGGGUGCGUAGGCGGACUUAUAAGUCAGUGGUGAAAGUUUGCAGCUUAACUGUAAAAUUGCCGUUGAAACUGUUAGUCUUGAGUGUAAAUAAGGUAGGCGGAAUGUGUUGUGUAGCGGUGAAAUGCUUAGAUAUAACACAGAACACCAAUUGCGAAGGCAGCUUACUGGGAUACAACUGACGCUGAGGCACGAAAGCGUGGGGAUCAAACAG
rnacentral:rRNA from 1 species